rnacentral:rRNA from 1 species
UACGUAGGGUGCAAGCGUUGUCCGGAAUUAUUGGGCGUAAAGAGCUCGUAGGCGGCCUGUCGCGUCGGAUGUGAAAAUCCAGGGCUCAACCCUGGACCUGCAUUCGAUACGGGCAGACUAGAGUUCGGUAGGGGAGACUGGAAUUCCUGGUGUAGCGGUGAAAUGCGUAGAUAUCAGGAGGAACACCGGUGGCGAAGGCGCACACCUGGCCCGAUACUGACGCUGAGGCGCGAAAGCUAGGGGAGCAAACGGG